AGUCCACGCCGUAAACUAUGAUCACUCGUUGUUGGCGAUACACAGUCAGUGACUAAGGGAAACCGAUAAGUGAUCCACCUGGGGAGUACGAUCGCAAGGUUGAAACUCAAAGGAAUUGUCGGGGGCCCGCACAAGCGGUGGAGCAUGUGGUUUAAUUCGAUGAUACGCGAGGAACCUUACCUGGGCUCAAAUGUAAGUUGACAUGUCCUGAAAGGGAUUUUUCUUCGGACAAUUUACAAGGUGCUGCAUGGUUGUCGUCAGCUCGUGCCGUGAGGUGUCGGGUUAAGUCCCAUAACGAGCGCAACCCCUACUCUUAGUUGCCAGCAUGUAAUGAUGGGGACUCUAGGAGAACUGCCUACGCAAGUAGAGAGGAAGGUGGGGAUGACGUCAAAUCAGCACGGCCCUUACGUCCAGGGCUACACACGUGCUACAAUGGCCGGUACAGAGGGCAGCCACCUGGUGACAGGGAGCGAAUCUCUAAAGCCGGUCUCAGUUCGGAUCGAAGUCUGCAACCCGACUUCGUGAAGCUGGAAUCGCUAGUAAUCGCGCAUCAGCCAUGGCGCGGUGAAUACGUUCCCGGGCCUUGUACACACCGCCCGU
rnacentral:rRNA from 1 species